rnacentral:rRNA from 1 species
GUCUACAGCCAUGCCACCCUGAACAAGCUGGAUCCUGUCUGAUCUGGGAAGCUAAGCAGGGUUGGGCCUAGUUAGUACUUGGAUGGGAGACCACCUAGAAAGACCAGGUAUUGUAGGUG